UGGGGAAUAUUGCACAAUGGGCGCAAGCCUGAUGCAGCCAUGCCGCGUGUGUGAAGAAGGCCUUCGGGUUGUAAAGCACUUUCAGCGAGGAGGAAGGUGGUGAGCUUAAUACGCUCAUCAAUUGACGUUACUCGCAGAAGAAGCACCGGCUAACUCCGUGCCAGCAGCCGCGGUAAUACGGAGGGUGCAAGCGUUAAUCGGAAUUACUGGGCGUAAAGCGCACGCAGGCGGUUUGUUAAGUCAGAUGUGAAAUCCCCGGGCUCAACCUGGGAACUGCAUUUGAAACUGGCAAGCUAGAGUCUCGUAGAGGGGGGUAGAAUUCCAGGUGUAGCGGUGAAAUGCGUAGAGAUCUGGAGGAAUACCGGUGGCGAAGGCGGCCCCCCUGGACGAAGACUGACGCUCAGGUGCGAAAGCGUGGGGCAGCAAACAGGAUUAGAUACCCCUGGUAGUCCAGCGCUGUAAACGAUGUCGAUUUGGAGGUUGUGCCCCUUGAGGCGUGGCUUCCGGAGCUAACGCGUUAAAUCGACCGCCUGGGGGAGUACGGCCGCAAGGUUAAAACUU
rnacentral:rRNA from 1 species